rnacentral:rRNA from 1 species
AGCUUUACGAGUAGAUGUAAGGUCAGACCUGCCCAAUGUGCAUGUCAUGAAUGGCCGCGGUACUUUGACCGUGCUAAGGUAGCGCAAUCAAUUGGCUUUUAAUUGGGGCCACGUAUGAAUGGAGUAACGGGGUUUAGCUGUCUCUAAAUUAUUUUAUUGAAAUUACUAUUUAGGUGAGAAAGCCUAAGAGACGAAAAAGGACGAGAAGACCCUUAGAGUUUUACUCAAAUCAGAUAACUAGUGUUUGAAGCAGUUUAGUUGGGGCAACAUAGGAGCAGAAUUUAUUUAAUCUCCUGAAAUUAACAAGCCGAUAGUAAUAAAAAUGUGUAAACUACCUUAGGGAUAACAGCAUAAUUUUAUUAAUAAGUUUGUGACCUCGAUGUUGGACUAGGAAACUAGAAGGCUAGCCGCCUUUUAGGAAAGUUCUGUUCGAACUAUUAUUCCU